rnacentral:rRNA from 1 species
UCGAGCGCGGGAAGCAGGCAGAUCCUCUUCGGAGGUGACGCCNGUGGAACGAGCGGCGGACGGGUGAGUAACACGUGGGCAACCUGCCUGUAAGAUUGGGAUAACCCCGGGAAACCGGGGCUAAUACCGGAUAAUACUUUUCGUUGCAUAACGAGAAGUUGAAAGGCGGCUUUUAGCUGUCACUUACAGAUGGGCCCGCGGCGCAUUAGCUAGUUGGUAAGGUAACGGCUUACCAAGGCGACGAUGCGUAGCCGACCUGAGAGGGUGAUCGGCCACACUGGGACUGAGACACGGCCCAGACUCCUACGGGAGGCAGCAGUAGGGAAUCUUCCGCAAUGGACGAAAGUCUGACGGAGCAACGCCGCGUGAGUGAUGAAGGUUUUCGGAUCGUAAAACUCUGUUGUCAGGGAAGAACAAGUGCCGUUCAAAUAGGGCGGCACCUUGACGGUACCUGACCAGAAAGCCCCGGCUAACUACGUGCCAGCAGCCGCGGUAAUACGUAGGGGGCAAGCGUUGUCCGGAAUUAUUGGGCGUAAAGCGCGCGCAGGCGGUCCUUUAAGUCUGAUGUGAAAGCCCACGGCUUAACCGUGGAGGGCCAUUGGAAACUGGAGGACUUGAGUACAGAAGAGGAGAGUGGAAUUCCACGUGUAGCGGUGAAAUGCGUAGAGAUGUGGAGGAACACCAGUGGCGAAGGCGACUCUCUGGUCUGUAACUGACGCUGAGGUGCGAAAGCGUGGGGAGCGAACAGGAUUAGAUACCCUGGUAGUCCACGCCGUAAACGAUGAGUGCUAGGUGUU